rnacentral:rRNA from 1 species
UGGGGAAUAUUGGACAAUGGGCGAAAGCCUGAUCCAGCCACGCCGCGUGUGUGAAGAAGGUCUUCGGAUUGUAAAGCACUUUAAGUUGGGAGGAAGGGCAUUAACCUAAUACGUUAGUGUUUUGACGUUACCGACAGAAUAAGCACCGGCUAACUCUGUGCCAGCAGCCGCGGUAAUACAGAGGGUGCAAGCGUUAAUCGGAAUUGCUGGGCGUAAAGCGCGCGUAGGUGGUUUGUUAAGUUGGAUGUGAAAUCCCCGGGCUCAACCUGGGAACUGCAUUCAAAACUGACUGACUAGAGUAUGGUAGAGGGUGGUGGAAUUUCCUGUGUAGCGGUGAAAUGCGUAGAUAUAGGAAGGAACACCAGUGGCGAAGGCGACCACCUGGACUAAUACUGACACUGAGGUGCGAAAGCGUGGGGAGCAAACA